AGCGAACGCUGGCGGCGUGCCUAACACAUGCAAGUCGAACGUGAAAAGGGAAACCUGAGUAAAGUGGCGUACGGGUGAGUAACGCGUAGGUAAUCUACCCCAGAAUCUGGAAUAACCUGCCGAAAGGCGGGCUAAUACUGGAUAGAGCGAGGGAACUCGUAAGAGAGUUUUUCGGGAACGGGAGCCCGCCAGGGCCUUCGUUCUGGGAUGAGCCUGCGUCUCAUUAGCUAGUUGGUAAGGUAACGGCUUACCAAGGCGAUGAUGAGUAGCUGGUCUGAGAGGAUGAUCAGCCACACUGGAACUGAAACACGGUCCAGACUCCUACGGGAGGCAGCAGUGGGGAAUCUUGCGCAAUGGACGGAAGUCUGACGCAGCCACGCCGCGUGAGUGAAGAAGGCCUUCGGGUUGUAAAGCUCUGUCGGAUGGGACGAACAUCUUCAUAGUGAAUAGCUAUGAGGACUGACGGUACCAUCAAAGGAAGCACCGGCUAACUCCGUG
rnacentral:rRNA from 1 species